AAACAAAAGUGUGUGUGGUUGUCCCAUAGAUCGCGCGACCUUCGCCGCGGCGGCAUUCAACGCUCCCGGCUAAGUGCCCGUAAAAUCAAAACAAUUCCUGACGUGGACGAGUAAACACGCGUGUGUCGCAUCGGUCCGUGCGAAUUCUGCUUGAUUUUCCUCAAUCUAUUACGAUUACGAGCACGAGAGGAAUACGAGUCUUUGUUCGCGCGUCGCGAUUACCAUGGGACGAUCAGCGUGAGCAACGAUAAUAUCGGAGAGUAAUAUUAUAUUUGCAGGGUCUUUUAUUUCGAGCGCAACUCACGGCCGAAGUCAACCUAACCUAACCUAACCUAACUUAACCUAGCGCAGGGCGCGGCAGUUUCGGUGGACUACGACGCCGUAUCGGAGGAUCCGAUUCGGGCCGAGCAGAGUCGGCUCGAAGAGUUGGUAGUAGAAUGCGGCCGAUUCUGACUUCAAGGCGUUUUGG